CCCUAAACUACAAACGCCGCUUUCAUUCUUUUCAUCUAUCUUUGUGUUUUCUCCUCUCCAUUGAAGCCGCUUCGAUUAUGUUUAAGCGGACGACGGCAACGAAGUCUUCGUUAUGUGUGAAGGCCGUAAUCAACGUUGGUGAUGGUGGUGCCGGGUGUUGACGUCACUGAACUCUAAAUCACUAACAGAGACUAUAUUUAUUCAAUUGGAUGGUGGGAACUGCCGGUGAGAACGACGACGAAGACCGAUGGCUGUCGUAAUAGGUUGUGGUGGAAAGGUGGACUAAACCGAUCUUCCUGAGAUGGAGAAGAAGAAUUAUGUGUCUUUGAUGGAAGUUGGAAUCUAAGUGAUUACUUGGCAAAUGGAGUCGACAUGAAGAUUGAAACACCCUGGUUUGAGGUGUAAAUUAUUGUUUACAAGGUUCCUAAAGACGAGUUUGAGAAUAACUUCCAUAGUCGCUCAAGAGGAAAUAUGAUUGUUAAGUUGACUGGCAACAAUUACUCCACCGACUCUGCGACUCCGCUUUUAAGUUCCUCAUCUUCAGACAUCAGAAGGUCGUAAAGACAACUACGUGUACGUCUCUGAAGCUCUCACAGCAGGAAUCGUAGCAGGUGGUGUGGAAUCACUAAUGAGCUAUCCGUUUGAGCUUUUUACGAUUCGUGCACAGGUGUCAGCCGUUUCUCAUGUUCCAAACUCUUCUACGAAUUUGCAAAAAGCGUCUAUAUCAACUUCAGUUACAAAACUAUUGCGUGGAUAUGAUCCAGACGUCAAGGCACUGGACCAUUCGAUUGGUCUGUUGGCCACCGUAGAUACUAAACGUUCGAACUUGACGAGCUCUCUGAAAGAGUACCCGUGUAUAUGUUUUUAUAUUUCAUCUAACGAGGCCUAAUGCAUUAGUGUUACUCUUGAUUCAAUAUUUUACUCAAUAGGUAUGGUUUGAUUUUAAUUUUAAAUAGAAAUGAAUCAGUGUGGUGAAAUUUUUUAUUAAUCUAAUUUAAAUUUUCCUACCCGGGGAAUAACCUAGUUGUU
rnacentral:lncRNA from 1 species